GGGACUUGGAACAAAAGGGGAAACUCUGAUGAACUCCUUCUCCAGCUCCCUGGACGCCCGAGUAUCUCUUUCUCGCAACUUUGUCAACGCGACUUUCUCCGCUGUCAGGCUGCGCAAAAGUAUCCUAGCGCCUCGCAGGCUGCAACAAUGGAAACAAUGUCCCUUCAAAGUGCGACGAAGUGGAGGGAGAAGGUGUCAUACCAGCGACUCCAAGAGUCAUGUCACCCACUUAGCAGGAGUACUUCUACUGAAAUGCCUUCGAAUUUCUCUUACUGGAUAUAUACCUACCAGCCGCUAGCAUGAAGAUGCCAGGACCGCUGCAAGUUAGCACUGGACAAAGUAGCAUCAACUUCUUCAUUUAGAGUUUCUUCAGUUAAAUUGCUGGGAUUUUCGACAAGGCUUUCCUUAUGUGGAUUAUUGGAGUGUGAUGCCCGAGAAUUCUCUACUUGUAGAAGCACGCCCACGGGACUGCAGAAGCCUUCACACCCACCCAGCACGCUCAGAAAGUACUGUCUUCAACCUUACCAAUGUCAGUGGCGGCGACGGUGGCGUCACCAUCACCAUCAGAGAAAAAGAAAUAUGCCUUUAUGUCAUGAUGGGAAUGAGUGAUGGCCAUCCAGUGACCAGCUGGAUCUGACUGCCUUACAAGACGCAUGUGUAUGAUUAAGAGAGAGACAUUCGUGACUCCCAGAUGUACCUCCUUCCUGUCCCACAGUGUUCCUGAAGGGAGUGAGUUAUGGGGUAACUUAUAACACAGCAGGCUCUUCCUCAAGAUAGCUCUUGUCAAAACAGGAAGACGAAACUCGGGUUUCCAUGAGGAGACCACAGCUUGGGAUCCUGUCUGGAUGUACAAGCAGAAGCAUCUUCAUACUUUUCCAUUUCUAACCAUCAUGCCUCACCCCACCCUCCCAAGGCGACAUCUGCAGAGAGGAGAAUGAGGAGGAAGAGGAGGAGAAAGAGGAGGAGGAAGUAAGACAGAGGGGGACAAGAGGACCAAGAGGGCACAUGGCUGAGGAGGAGGAGAACAACAACAACAACAACAACAACAACAACAACAAGAAGCUUGGUGGUGAAACUUGGAAGCCCUCUCCAGGAUGCAGCAGGUAGCUGAGGAGAAAACGAAGACUGACCAGCCCAGAGCUCAGAGCUUCCUCCCAUGCUCAGGAUUUACCACCAAUGCCAUUACAUCGGCCUCUUCUUGUAUGCCUCUGGAAACCACAUGUGUCCUCUGUUUGUAAUGGUUUGGCUAUGGUUGCUGGCCCCUCUUGGACAUUGUUUUCAGAACUUAAAGAAACAUUGCUUUAAAGAUUUAUUAGAACAUAUUUAAAAUAAAACCAUCUUCUCAUUUAGUAUGCAA
rnacentral:lncRNA from 1 species